AACGUUUGAUCUAAUUGAUUUACAAACUAACUGACAUGCAAGAAUAUUUCCACUUGCUAUGUCAUAUAAAAUUCAAAUAAAAAAGUUUUCACUAUGGUUAUUAUAUGUUCCACGUUCGUAGAAACACGAAGAAAUUUAACAAUGAACAAUUUUAAUUAUUUGUAUUACGUUUCAUUAAUAUUUAUGCAACGACAGAGCUAUAUGUCGAUGUGAUAUCGUCAUUGCAUAAUGUAGUGUAAUAGGAGAUGUUUUUGCAAAAAUUUACAUACGGACGUCCACUACGACAAUCGUAUCUGCAUUCCCAACCGGGUGGCAAUUGACUCCUGUCACUUUCUUCAGCCAUCUUUACGUAUUUUGUUAACUCAGAGAAAGCCCUUCCGGCUCUUCCUAGAGUUAAUGCUAUGUAUUUACUGAUCACGAUACUAUCUAAUUACAAGACGUUAUUUAUUACACGAAAUCACCUACUCUAGUGAUAAAUUGUUUCGUUCAUUACAUAAUUAAGCGUCGAAUGUCCCGCAAUACAAACUAUUAUUUAUAGUGCGUGAAAACUUUGUUUAUAUUUUAAUAUCGAUCACUAAUACAAAGAUUUACGCCUCAUAUUGGUGAGCAAAGUAUAUUUCAAAAUAUAUUGACAAAUCAAGUUAAUGAGUGUUGUGUGAUACUUUAUUUGUUAUAUUAAAUUUUAUUAUAUACAUAAAUAUCUUAUUUGUUUCUGAAACUUACUUAAAUUCAUAUUUUUUAAUACUUACACAUGUUGAGUACAUAAAUAUGUUUCAUAUCAUGUACAUGUAGCAUAUAAAAUUAACUAGAAAGAAUAGAAAUAUAUUAUUAACAUUUAUUCAUUAAAACAUACAAUUGAUAAUGUAUCUAUAACAUAAGGGAAAAUAAAUUAUAUCAUAAAAGAACAAAGAGUUUUUAGUAAAAUAUAUAUUUUAAAGAAUAAUACAUAAAAUUAAAUAUUUAUUGUGCUCCUCUAUCAUAGAAUUUGAGAUUAGAUAAGUUCACAAUUUUUUAGAAGUAUAAUGCCAGAAAUGGUUUGUACCAUAAAUCCAUAAUUACAUGUUUAAGUUAAUAUUUUUGAAUUUGUAUUUUAAAAAUUGAAAUUUCCUACUUCUCAUUUUCUUUAUACCAUUGCUAUAUAAUUAAACACUAAAAUAGUGACGAAUAUCAUCAUUUAUUUUUUUUUGGUUUUGUUAAGUCUGUGUACAUUUGAUAUAGCAUUCCCAUGGU